GUGAGGAAUAUUGGACAAUGGGCGCAAGCCUGAUCCAGCCAUGCCGCGUGCAGGAAGACGCAUCUAUGGUGUGUAAACUGCUUUUGUACGGGAAGAAACACUCCCUCGUGAGGGAGCUUGACGGUACCGUAAGAAUAAGGAUCGGCUAACUCCGUGCCAGCAGCCGCGGUAAUACGGAGGAUCCAAGCGUUAUCCGGAAUCAUUGGGUUUAAAGGGUCCGUAGGCGGUUUAAUAAGUCAGUGGUGAAAGCCCAUCGCUCAACGAUGGAACGGCCAUUGAUACUGUUAGACUUGAAUUACAAGGAAGUAACUAGAAUAUGUAGUGUAGCGGUGAAAUGCUUAGAUAUUACAUGGAAUACCAAUUGCGAAGGCAGGUUACUACUUGUGGAUUGACGCUGAUGGACGAAAGCGUGGGGAGCAAACAGGAUUAGAAACCCGAGUAGUCC
rnacentral:rRNA from 1 species